UACGAACUGUGCGAACGUUAUUCGGAAUCACUGGGCUUACAGGGUGCGUAGGCGGCCUGUUAAGCAGGGUGUGAAAUGCCGGGGCUCAACCCCGGCAUGGCGCCCUGGACUGGCGGGCUCGAGGGCGCUAGGGGUGUGCGGAACUGCCGGUGGAGCGGUGAAAUGUGUUGAGAUCGGCAGGAACGCCUGUGGCGAAAGCGGCACACUGGGGCGCGCCUGACGCUGAGGCACGAAAGCCAGGGGAGCGAACGGG
rnacentral:rRNA from 1 species